rnacentral:rRNA from 1 species
ACGAACGCUGGCGGCGUGCCUAAUACAUGCAAGUAGAACGCUGAAGAGAGGAGCUUGCUCUUCUUGGAUGAGUUGCGAACGGGUGAGUAACGCGUAGGUAACCUGCCUUGUAGCGGGGGAUAACUAUUGGAAACGAUAGCUAAUACCGCAUAACAAUGGAUGACACAUGUCAUUUAUUUGAAAGGGGCAAUUGCUCCACUACAAGGUGGACCUGCGUUGUAUUAGCUAGUAGGUGAGGUAAUGGCUCACCUAGGCGACGAUACAUAGCCGACCUGAGAGGGUGAUCGGCCACACUGGGACUGAGACACGGCCCAGACUCCUACGGGAGGCAGCAGUAGGGAAUCUUCGGCAAUGGGGGCAACCCUGACCGAGCAACGCCGCGUGAGUGAAGAAGGUUUUCGGAUCGUAAAGCUCUGUUGUAAGUCAAGAACGGGUGUGAGAGUGGAAAGUUCACACUGUGACGGUAGCUUACCAGAAAGGGACGGCUAACUACGUGCCAGCAGCCGCGGUAAUACGUAGGUCCCGAGCGUUGUCCGGAUUUAUUGGGCGUAAAGCGAGCGCAGGCGGUUUGAUAAGUCUGAAGUUAAAGGCUGUGGCUCAACCAUAGUUCGCUUUGGAAACUGUCAAACUUGAGUGCAGAAGGGGAGAGUGGAAUUCCAUGUGUAGCGGUGAAAUGCGUAGAUAUAUGGAGGAACACCGGUGGCGAAAGCGGCUCUCUGGUCUGUAACUGACGCUGAGGCUCGAAAGCGUGGGGAGCGAACAGGAUUAGAUACCCUGGUAGUCCACGCCGUAAACGAUGAGUGCUAGGUGUUGGAUCCUUUCCGGGAUUCAGUGCCGCAGCUAACGCAUUAAGCACUCCGCCUGGGGAGUACGACCGCAAGGUUGAAACUCAAAGGAAUUGACGGGGGCCCGCACAAGCGGUGGAGCAUGUGGUUUAAUUCGAAGCAACGCGAAGAACCUUACCAGGUCUUGACAUCCCGAUGCUAUUUCUAGAGAUAGAAAGUUACUUCGGUACAUCGGUGACAGGUGGUGCAUGGUUGUCGUCAGCUCGUGUCGUGAGAUGUUGGGUUAAGUCCCGCAACGAGCGCAACCCCUAUUGUUAGUUGCCAUCAUUCAGUUGGGCACUCUAGCGAGACUGCCGGUAAUAAACCGGAGGAAGGUGGGGAUGACGUCAAAUCAUCAUGCCCCUUAUGACCUGGGCUACACACGUGCUACAAUGGUUGGUACAACGAGUUGCGAGUCGGUGACGGCGAGCUAAUCUCUUAAAGCCAAUCUCAGUUCGGAUUGUAGGCUGCAACUCGCCUACAUGAAGUCGGAAUCGCUAGUAAUCGCGGAUCAGCACGCCGCGGUGAAUACGUUCCCGGGCCUUGUACACACCGCCCGUCACACCACGAGAGUUUGUAACACCCGAAGUCGGUGAGGUAACCUUUUGGAGCCAGCCGCCUAAGGUGGGACAGAUGAUUGGGGUG